GGUCAGAGUGGCCGGAGCCUAUCCCAGCAGCUCAGCGAGCAAGGCAGAAACCCACCCUGGACAGGAUGCCAUCCCAUGGAAUAUCUAGAGAGCUGGAAAAGCAUCACUUCUGGGUGUGUCUGUGAGGGGGUUUCCAGAGGAGAUUGGCAUGAGUCAGUGAACUGUGUGGAGCAGAUUUGCCCUCAAUGUCAGCAGGCAUCAUCCAAUCAGCUGGGAGCCUGGAUAGAACAGAAGACAGAGAAAAGGUUGACAUAAAUGUGUCCAGAAGCAGGACCUGAAGCAAGAGCACUUUUAGAAGGAAUCUGCGAUUCUUGGAACUGGUGUGCAGUAUUCACUUGAGAUCUCUGAGCUCGCCACGUGCAUGCCUUGUCUUUUCUGACCUGGUGAAUCUUCUCUUAGGCUGAGUCUCUUUUUGGUAGAGGCUUUUUGACUUUCUUCAGGAUUUGGUUUGGUACUAAGGCAGCCUUAAAUAAAGGAACUUGCAUCCCUCUUAAAACUA